UACGUAGGGUGGAAGCGUUGUCCGGAAUUAUUGGGCGUAAAGAGCUCGUAGGCGGUUUGUCACGUCGGCUGUGAAAUCCCGAGGCUUAACCUCGGGCCUGCAGUCGAUACGGGCUAACUAGAGUGAUGCAGGGGAGACUGGAAUUCCUGGUGUAGCGGUGAAAUGCGCAGAUAUCAGGAGGAGCACCGGUGGCGAAGGCGGGUCUCUGGGCAUUAACUGACGCUGAGGAGCGAAAGCGUGGGGAGCGAACAGG
rnacentral:rRNA from 1 species